rnacentral:rRNA from 1 species
UACGAAGGGGGCUAGCGUUGCUCGGAAUCACUGGGCGUAAAGCGCACGUAGGCGGCCUUCUAAGUCGAACGUGAAAUCCCCGGGCUCAACCCGGGAACUGCGUCCGAGACUGAAAGGCUUGAAUCCGGGAGAGGGAUGUGGAAUUCCAGGUGUAGCGGUGAAAUGCGUAGAUAUCUGGAGGAAUACCGGUGGCGAAGGCGGCAUCCUGGACCGGCAUUGACGCUGAUGAGCGAAAGCUAGGGGAGCAAACGGG